CCUACGGGUGGCAGCAGUGAGGAAUAUUGGUCAAUGGACGAGAGUCUGAACCAGCCAAGCAGCGUGAAGGAUGACUGCCCUAUGGGUUGUAAACUUCUUUUAUAAAGGAAUAAAACGAGGCACGUGUGCCUGUUUGCAUGUACUUUAUGAAUAAGGAUCGGCUAACUCCGUGCCAGCAGCCGCGGUAAUACGGAGGAUCCGAGCGUUAUCCGGAUUUAUUGGGUUUAAAGGGAGCGUAGGUGGGUUGUUAAGUCAGUUGUGAAAGUUUGGGGCUCAACCGUAAAAUUGCAGUUGAUACUGGCAGUCUUGAGUACAGUUGAGGUAGGCGGAAUUCGUGGUGUAGCGGUGAAAUGCUUAGAUAUCACGAAGAACACCGAUUGCGAAGGCAGCUUACUAAACUAUAACUGACGUUGAUGCUCGAAAGCGUGGGUAUCAAACAGGAUUAGAUACCCGAGUAGUC
rnacentral:rRNA from 1 species